AGACCCGAAACCCGGUGAUCUAGCCAUGGGCAGGUUGAAGGUUGGGUAACACUAACUGGAGGACCGAACCGACUAAUGUUGAAAAAUUAGCGGAUGACCUGUGGCUGGGGGUGAAAGGCCAAUCAAACCGGGAGAUAGCUGGUUCUCCCCGAAAGCUAUUUAGGUAGCGCCUCGUGAAUUCAUCUCCGGGGGUAGAGCACUGUUUCGGCUAGGGGGCCAUCCCGGCUUACCAACCCGAUGCAAACUGCGAAUACCGGAGAAUGUUAUCACGGGAGACACACGGCGGGUGCUAACGUCCGUCGUGAAGAGGGAAACAACCCAGACCGCCAGCUAAGGUCCCAAAGUCAUGGUUAAGUGGGAAACGAUGUGGGAAGGCCCAGACAGCCAGGAUGUUGGCUUAGAAGCAGCCAUCAUUUAAAGAAAGCGUAAUAGCUCACUGGUCGAGUCGGCCUGCGCGGAAGAUGUAACGGGGCUAAACCAUGCACCGAAGCUGCGGCAGCGAACGUAUCACCCAAGACAACUUUACGGAGUUGACGAUUGACGGAGCGAAGCGACGUCAAAGCGUUCAUUAAAGUCGAGUUGGCUUAGGGAUACGUUCGUUGGGUAGGGGAGCGUUCUGUAAGCCUGUGAAGGUGUGUCGUGAGGCAUGCUGGAGGUAUCAGAAGUGCGAAUGCUGACAUAAGUAACGAUAAAGCGGGUGAAAAGCCCGCUCGCCGGAAGACCAAGGGUUCCUGUCCAACGUUAAUCGGGGCAGGGUGAGUCGACCCCUAAGGCGAGGCCGAAAGGCGUAGUCGAUGGGAAACGGGUUAAUAUUCCCGUACUUGGUGUUACUGCGAAGGGGGGACGGAGAAGGCUAUGUUGGCCGGGCGACGGUUGUCCCGGUUUAAGCGUGUAGGUGUGUGUUCCAGGUAAAUCCGGUUCACUUUAACACUGAGGCGUGACGACGAGGCACUACGGUGCUGAAGCAACAAAUGCCCUGCUUCCAGGAAAAGCCUCUAAGCAUCAGGUAACAUCAAAUCGUACCCCAAACCGACACAGGUGGUCAGGUAGAGAAUACCAAGGCGCUUGAGAGAACUCGGGUGAAGGAACUAGGCAAAAUGGUGCCGUAACUUCGGGAGAAGGCACGCUGACACGUAGGUGAAGUGAUUUACUCAUGGAGCUGAAGUCAGUCGAAGAUACCAGCUGGCUGCAACUGUUUAUUAAAAACACAGCACUGUGCAAACACGAAAGUGGACGUAUACGGUGUGACGCCUGCCCGGUGCCGGAAGGUUAAUUGAUGGGGUCAGCGCAAGCGAAGCUCCUGAUCGAAGCCCCGGUAAACGGCGGCCGUAACUAUAACGGUCCUAAGGUAGCGAAAUUCCUUGUCGGGUAAGUUCCGACCUGCACGAAUGGCGUAAUGAUGGCCAGGCUGUCUCCACCCGAGACUCAGUGAAAUUGAACUCGCUGUGAAGAUGCAGUGUACCCGCGGCAAGACGGAAAGACCCCGUGAACCUUUACUAUAGCUUGACACUGAACAUUGAGCCUUGAUGUGUAGGAUAGGUGGGAGGCUUUGAAGUGUGGACGCCAGUCUGCAUGGAGCCGACCUUGAAAUACCACCCUUUAAUGUUUGAUGUUCUAACGUGGACCCGUAAUCCGGGUUGCGGACAGUGUCUGGUGGGUAGUUUGACUGGGGCGGUCUCCUCCUAAAGAGUAACGGAGGAGCACGAAGGUUGGCUAAUCCUGGUCGGACAUCAGGAGGUUAGUGCAAUGGCAUAAGCCAGCUUGACUGCGAGCGUGACGGCGCGAGCAGGUGCGAAAGCAGGUCAUAGUGAUCCGGUGGUUCUGAAUGGAAGGGCCAUCGCUCAACGGAUAAAAGGUACUCCGGGGAUAACAGGCUGAUACCGCCCAAGAGUUCAUAUCGACGGCGGUGUUUGGCACCUCGAUGUCGGCUCAUCACAUCCUGGGGCUGAAGUAGGUCCCAAGGGUAUGGCUGUUCGCCAUUUAAAGUGGUACGCGAGCUGGGUUUAGAACGUCGUGAGACAGUUCGGUCCCUAUCUGCCGUGGGCGCUGGAGAACUGAGGGGGGCUGCUCCUAGUACGAGAGGACCGGAGUGGACGCAUCACUGGUGUUCGGGUUGUCAUGCCAAUGGCACUGCCCGGUAGCUAAAUGCGGAAGAGAUAAGUGCUGAAAGCAUCUAAGCACGAAACUUGCCCCGAGA
rnacentral:rRNA from 1 species